rnacentral:misc_RNA from 1 species
UCCGGUUUAACACCGGCAGUUUCUUUAGAGUGCCCAACUGAAUGCUGGCAACUAACGAUAGGGGUUGCGCUCGUUAAGGGACUUAACCCGACACCUCACGGCACGAGCUGACGACAGCCAUGCAGCACCUGUGCAGGCUCCCGAAGGAGCACCGGCUUUCACCGGUUUCACCCUGCAUGUCAAGCCCUGGUAAGGUUCUUCGCGUUGCGUCGAAUUAAGCCACAUGCUCCGCCGCUUGUGCGGGUCCCCGUCAAUUCCUUUGAGUUUUAGCCUUGCGGCCGUACUCCCCAGGCGGGGCGCUUAAUGCGUUAGCUACGGCACAGAAUCCGUGGAAGGGAUCCCACACCUAGCGCCCACCGUUUACGGCGUGGACUAC